rnacentral:rRNA from 1 species
GUCGAGAAUAAUUCACAAUGGGGGCAACCCUGAUGGUGCAACGCCGCGUGGAGGAUGACGGUCUUCGGAUUGUAAACUCCUGUCAUCCGGGAGUAAGACCUGGGAGUUAAUAGCUCACAGGGUUGAUAGUACCGGAAGAGGAAGGGACGGCUAACUUCGCGCCAGCAGCCGCGGUAAUACGAAGGUCCCAAGCGUUGUUCGGAAUCACUGGGCGUAAAGGGAGCGUAGGCGGCGUGGUAAGUCAGAUGUGAAAUCCCGGGGCUCAACCCCGGAACUGCAUCCGAUACUGCCAUGCUAGAGGAUUGGAGAGGUAGCUGGAAUUCUUGGUGUAGCAGUGAAAUGCGUAGAGAUCAAGAGGAACACUCGUGGCGAAAGCGAGCUACUGGACAAUUCCUGACGCUGAGGCUCGAAGGCCAGGGUAGCGAAAGGGAUUAGAUACCCCUGUAGUCCUGGCAGUAAACGGUGCACGCUUGGUGUGAGGGGAAUCGACCCCCCUUGUGCCGGAGCUAACGCGUUAAGCGUGCCGCCUGGGAAGUACGGUCGCAAGAC